GAGAGAGAGGACACAGGGAAACUUACAGCAAAAGUUUCGAUGUUUAUAGCUUUCUUGGGGAAGAAAACACAUGCACAGAUCCUGGUGUUAGGAAUAUUUUAAGCAUGUAUCUUCAAUAUUAUUCAUCCAGGACCGAAGUUUGAGAAGUGCCAAAAAACAGCUGUUUGGAGUAAAGGAGAUGAACGAACAACAUGUUUGCAGGCAAAGGUACUCACCGCUACCCUGCGUUCCUGCAUAGACUUCCAUCAGAGAGAACAUGUUAGGAAAGUUAAAUUGCAGUAAGCACAUCACAGCAAUGACGAGGACAGGUACUUUUCUGGGAAACACUGGAAGACAGCUGGAGAGGAUUCUGCUGCUGUGAAAGCACCUAAAGCCUCCUUGACUCAGCCUCACAUCCUAUCUUCAAGAAAACAUCAUAUGGUUAUUAUAUAAACCUCUUACGGGAUUUCUAAGGUUAAUUUCAAUAUAUAAAUGGCUACUCAACAGAAUCAAGGUAAUUAGAGUUUGCUUAUAUUCAAAAAGAGUUGCAAAAUGUCUCCUAGAAAACAGAAUUAACUAUAAGAACCUGAAAUUUGCAUUUCAUAACUUUAAGGAGUUUAAAUUAUCAAGAUUAAUAUUGCACUAAAAAGUUUGUGCAUUCAUGCGUGAUCGAAUAUGAAAACACAUGACCUGUGAACUGAGCAAAAGGUAUGCUUUCUGAAGCAUAUACUCUGUGUGAUUAGGUCACUGAUGCCAUUGAAAUAUGUAGAUUUAAUGUUAAAGCUACUGGUUCUCUGAGUGUUUUCAUGAUCUCACCAGAUUUUUUUUUUUGUACCAUUCACUCUUUUCUAUUUAAAAGACUUUCAGUCGUAGUCUAAAAAAAAUUCCAAACACUUUAGUUCUGGAAUUUCACUUAUUCUCUACAAGUUAUUAUUACUACAAUUUAGUACAAACUCUCAUUUUCAUAGCUUACUAUUCCAACUUCUCCUAGUAUGUAACCCUUAUGCUCUAUAACUGAAAACAUUCUGGUAAAAGGAAUCAGCAUGCUAAUACUAUUUUAAACACACAUCCUCAUUCUCUUUCCUAUUAUUCAUAAAACUAGAAAAAUAAAAAAACACUUUUCUUCCAGCAGUGGAUAGAAGAAAAAGAAAUUCAAAUUUACAAUUUAAUUGUCAUGGGUCACUCACUUGCAGUGACUUGCUCUAGUUGCUUCUGUUGUUUUAAUGCUAAGGUAAGAUGAUGAAGAUCUGUUUUGAGUAAAGUAAGCUCCAAAUAUGAGCUUUGCACUACUACCAUUCUUAAUUUGUGGAUCAUAUCAAUGUUAGGAGUUGAAGGUUUAAUUUGCAUUUAUUUAAAUAAAUUAUCCCUAGACUAUAACUUA
ensembl:lncRNA novel transcript